UACAGAGGUCUCGAGCGUUGUUCGGAUUCAUUGGGCGUAAAGGGUGCGUAGGUGGCUAGGUAAGUCGGAUGUGAAAUCCCGGGGCUCAACCCCGGAACUGCAUUCGAUACUGCCUGGCUAGAGUACUGGAGAGGAGAUUGGAAUUUACGGUGUAGCAGUGAAAUGCGUAGAUAUCGUAAGGAAGACCAGUGGCGAAGGCGGAUCUCUGGACAGAUCCUGACGCUGAGGCACGAAAGCUAGGGGAGCAAACAGG
rnacentral:rRNA from 1 species